GGACAAUGGAAGGGACCAGAUGUGUUGUUAACCUCGGGUCGAGGAUAUGCUUGUGUUUUUCCCCAAGAUUCGGCCACUCCAAUUUGGAUACCAGACAGACUAAUCAGACAUCAUGAAACUCCCGUCGCCAACAAAACCCACCAUACCCAGGAAACGGUUUCGACCACGGAAAACCCGGCCGCCACCACACCCGACGAGUCAUCAGAUAUCUGAAGUUCAACUUUCUUCUCUUUUUGCUUCCCUGAAUCUGACUCAAUUCCGUCUUGUGGCUUCUACAAGAAAAAGGAACUUACCAACUUGGGGUGAUAUAAAAGCUCUUACCACUUCUGCUUUAGCCUUGGUGGAGGGAGAAUGCAAACCUGUUACUCCUGAAACUGUCUUUAUUGCUAUUCUUGCUCUCUUCACAGUCCAGAUAAUACUCCUCCUAUGCCACUGUGUAGCUCACUGGCCAUGCGCACAGCUGUCGCUGAUUCACCCCUCAAUGAUAAAAAGGCUACUCUUA